CCUACGGGAGGCAGCAGUGAGGAAUAUUGGACAAUGGGCGCAAGCCUGAUCCAGCCAUGCCGCGUGCAGGAUGACGGUCCUAUGGAUUGUAAACUGCUUUUGUACAGGAAGAAACACUGGUUCGUGAACCAGCUUGACGGUACUGUAAGAAUAAGGAUCGGCUAACUCCGUGCCAGCAGCCGCGGUAAUACGGAGGAUCCAAGCGUUAUCCGGAAUCAUUGGGUUUAAAGGGUCCGUAGGCGGUUUAGUAAGUCAGUGGUGAAAGCCCAUCGCUCAACGGUGGAACGGCCAUUGAUACUGCUAAACUUGAAUUAUUAGGAAGUAACUAGAAUAUGUAGUGUAGCGGUGAAAUGCUUAGAGAUUACAUGGAAUACCAAUUGCGAAGGCAGGUUACUACUAAUGGAUUGACGCUGAUGGAC
rnacentral:rRNA from 1 species